rnacentral:rRNA from 1 species
UCUGGUGGCGAAGGCAAAAUGGACACACCUGUACCCAUACCGAACACAGAAGUUAAGCAUUUUAGCGCCGAAGGUAGUACUUAAGUGCGAGAAUAGGACGUCGCCAGGC